rnacentral:tRNA from 15 species
GGGUGAUUAGCUCAGUUGGUAGAGCAGCUGACUCUUAAUCAGCGGGUCGUAGGCUCGAACCCUACAUCACCCACCA